rnacentral:rRNA from 1 species
AACGAACGCUGGCGGCAUGCCUAACACAUGCAAGUCGAACGCCAUGGUUUCGGCCAUGGAGUGGCGCACGGGUGAGUAACGCGUGGGAACCUGCCCAGCAGUACGGGACAACCGCGGGAAACUGCGGCUAAUACCGUAUACGCCCGUCUUUGGGAGACCAGGGGCGGGGAAAGAUUGAUCGCUGUUGGAGGGGCCCGCGUCGGAUUAGGUAGUUGGUGGGGUAAAGGCCUACCAAGCCUGCGAUCCGUAGCUGGUCUGAGAGGAUGAUCAGCCACACUGGGACUGAGACACGGCCCAGACUCCUACGGGAGGCAGCAGUGGGGAAUAUUGGACAAUGGGCGCAAGCCUGAUCCAGCAAUGCCGCGUGAGUGAUGAAGGCCUUAGGGUUGUAAAGCUCUUUCACACGCGACGAUGAUGACGGUAGCGUGAGAAGAAGCCCCGGCUAACUCUGUGCCAGCCGCCGCGGUAACAC